AUUGAACGCUGGCGGCAGGCCUAACACAUGCAAGUCGAACGAGUGGCGGACGGGUGAGUAAUGUCUGGGAAACUGCCUGAUGGAGGGGGAUAACUACUGGAAACGGUAGCUAAUACCGCAUACCAUCGGAUGUGCCCAGAUGGGAUUAGCUAGUAGGUGGGGUAAAGGCUCACCUAGGCGACGAUCCCUAGCUGGUCUGAGAGGAUGACCAGCAACACUGGAACUGAGACACGGUCCAGACUCCUACGGGAGGCAGCAUUGGGGAAUAUUCCGCGAUGGGCGCAAGCCUGAUGCAGACAUGCCGCGUGUAUGAAGAAAGCCCUCGGGUUGUAAAGUACUUUCAGCGAGGGGGCGUUGCCCGCAGAAUAAGCACCGGCUAACUCCGUGCCAGCAGCCGCGGUAAUAC
rnacentral:rRNA from 1 species